AUUAAAACAUUCAUUUUAAAACGUCUUGUUAAUGAUAUCUUAUUAAAAUAGUACGUUGUCUCCGGAGUGGCAGAAGAAUAACACUAACGCGAAAGAUUGUCGAUUUGAAGUGCAGAAACAAGAUACAGAUCAAUUUGAGCCAAAGACUUCGUUUAGUAAUAAUGAAGUCAACAUUACAGAGGCUCAGUUAAGGUAUAUAAAAUUUUCUGAAUUUUCUGUAUCCCUAUUCUUCCAGAUUUUUGUAAACUAUUUCUGAAGAAAUGUUUAGCAGUAAGCGCAAAAAUAAUUGGAUAUAUUAGACUAGCAUUUACGUUGAAUUCGUAUUUACCACUUUUCAUCGGAAACAGAAUCCGUCGUGCAAUGGCAAUUCGACAAAAUAAGGCUUUCUAAGCGUAGAUAUUUCCAGCACAGAUAAAACUCAAGUGACAUCUAUCAACUGGAAUAAUAAAAUUAACAAAUACGAUCCCGUAUACGAAUUUAGUGCCAAUAGCGUCACUAUUCCGUCAAGACGAAAAUUUGCGUAUCCGCCGGUACCACCGCCUCGCAAUCCGUUGCCUUCCCGACGACGAGUCUCAUUCUACGACGUCGUCUUCGGGGAUAUGCGCGGAAACGACCAGAAUUGUAUCUCGAAAAUGCAAGAUGAUCAUCAUAGGCCCUGUUGCAAUAAUGAUAAUAAAAAGGAAUACAAUAAUUCUUUCGACAUUUGGCAAGCGGACGAAUCGGUUGGUAAAAACGACGGCGGAUACGAAAAUAUUAAUGUAAAUUAUACCAAAGAUAGUGGCAGAAUGCAUUUUGAAAAAAGCGCGUCGGACUGUGGUGAAGAAGACACGUUAAGUAAAUGCAAUGACAUCGAGAAGAGUCGUGGACAAGAUCAUUGCAUCGAAGGUAAUUCAGAAUCGCGCGCGUACAGAAUAAUGAACGAGAAAGAUGAUGCAUCGUCGAAAGAAGACGCUAUGACGUACGGUCAUCAAAGUGGCCCGAAUUCAUCGAACGAACUUGAUGAUAAUGAACGAAUGCGGGGAGGAUGCGGUGGACCGUGCGGACCUCGUGUUAGACUUCCAUGUGGAACAGUGAAAGUUGAAACUGCUUGUCUUUGUAAAAGAGAGCCAGAACCAUGUCGCGUUGUGACAUCUUGUGCGACUUGUGCUACAACACCAUGUGCCGAUAGACGUAGUUGUUGCUCAUCGUCAAGUGAUCGGCCAGUUUGCAAAAAAUCAAUUAUUAAAUGUCGUCCACCGUGCAUCGGAGAAUCUCCAACUUGUGGAGGAGGUGGAUGUUGCGGAGGUGGAUGUCGUGGUGGUUGUGGAAAACCUGGACAAACGUGUUUACCGAAUCCAUCAAGACUUUGCACGACACCUUGCCGACCGUGUUCACCUUGUUCCCCACCAAAGCCAUGCGCUCCACAAAUAAUUUGCUAUUGCGGUCAAAAAUGUGGAAAUUGUUGUGGAAGUGGGAAUCGUGCAUGUUGUUGUCGGUAAGAAUUUUUAAUAUUGACUCUUUAUAUCGANGCAGAAGAUGUUGUAGUACCGAAAGGGCUGAACCAAUAGUCAUUGAGUCAGGAUGUUGUCGACCGAAAUCUGGUUGCGAAUGUUUGGGUGGAGGAGUUGAUUGUCAACGCUGUGGACGAAAAGUAUAUCAAGCUGAAAUGCAGCUGCUACUGCUGUAGAAAACCCUUGGAACCGUUAACAUAUCAAGAAAAUUGUGGGGAAAUUUAUUGCAAACAAUGUUAUGUUCGAAAUUUCGGACCUCAAGGAUAUGGAUACGGCGUGGGACCAGGUACAUUACAAACUCCUAUGUGAAGUUAUUAUACAACAUUAAUUAACUUUAUUAUCUCAAAAUUAGUUAUAAAUAACUUAUACAUGACAAUUUUUACUUCAUAGUUUGUACUUCUUUUUUAUAAUUCAUUCAUUAAAACAUAAUUUACAAAAUAUAUAAAUAUUUCCUCUUGAUAUAAUUUAACAUUUAU
rnacentral:misc_RNA from 1 species